GAAGCUAGCUGGAUAGUCGCUGCCUUAUUGAUGUCCUUCGGGAGACUGAUGAGGGGGAGGAAAGUCCGGGCUCCAUAGAGCAGGGUGCCAGGUAACGCCUGGGAAGCGCAAGCUUACGACAAGUGCAGCAGAGAGAAAACCGCCGAUGGCCGUAAGGCACAGGUAAGGGUGAAAGGGUGCGGUAAGAGCGCACCGUGCGUCUGGCAACAGUUCGUAGCAAGGUAAACUCCACCCGGAGCAAGACCAAAUAGGCUUUCACAUAGCGUGGCUCGCGUUAGAAAGCGGGUAGGUUGCUCGAGCCAGUGAGCGAUUGCUGGCCUAGACGAAUGGCUAUCACCACUUAGGUGGAUACAGAACCCGGCUUACAGGCUAGCUUCAACU
rnacentral:RNase_P_RNA from 1 species